CCUACGGGGGGCUGCAGUAAGGAAUAUUGGUCAAUGGACGCAAGUCUGAACCAGCCAUGCCGCGUGGAGGAUGAAGGUCCUCUGGAUUGUAAACUUCUUUUAUUUGGGAAGAAACUCCCGAUUUCCAUCGGGAUUGACGGUACCAGAUGAAUAAGCACCGGCUAACUCCGUGCCAGCAGCCGCGGUAAUACGGAGGGUGCAGGCGUUAUCCGGAUUCACGGGGCGUAGGUGGUCAGUUAAGUCAGUGGUAAAAUCCCCGGGCUUAACCCGGAAACUGCCAUUGAUACUAUGUGUCUUGAAUACUCUGGAGGUGAGCGGAAUAUGGCAUGUAGCGGUGAAAUGCUUAGAUAUGACAUAGAACACCCAUUGCGAAGGCAGCUCACUACGGAAAUAUUGACGCUGAGGCACGAAAGCGUGGGGAUCAAACAGGAUUAGAUACCCGGGUAGUC
rnacentral:rRNA from 1 species